AAAUCACGACUCGCUCUCCGGCGCCUCCCACCCUGCCUCACCCGCCUAUUGGAAACACUCUACGGAGACCGGUUUGGCCGGACUUUUGACUUUAUUGAACUGUUGGGGCCAGGGUAAGGGGGAGAUGGGAGAGCACUGGAAGGCGUUAGACAGAUAUCGCACAGUGGAUGAAUGCCUAAGUGGGGAGCACACCCCUGAGGAGGGUGGGUCGUCGAUGGUUGGGCCGCUCCCAGUGGCUAAAACCUGCAUCGUAGCCACAGCACGAUUCCAGAAAAUCUGGUGUUCUGGUGGGAUCCGAGGAAGCUGGACCGGGGGACUGGGGUAAAACCCUGUGGUCAGAGCGCACGGAUUCUCUGGAUCACUCCUCUUACCCUCCAUCUAACUCUGGAAAUACCGGAUAUGGGACACAGGUGCUCCUGUUUCUCAGGUCUUUGGAUUUUGGAUUGGAACUACACCACCAGCGCACUUUCCCGGGCCUGCAGAUUGUGGGACUUCUCAGCCUCCAUAACCAUGUUUGUGACACCCCACCCGGUACCGGCCUUCCACACGGGAGUCCUGUGACAACCAAAGUCCCCCUGCUGCUCCACAUGGCGGAUGAAUAUCCA